CCCUUAGAUGUUCUGGGCCGCACGCGCGCUACACUGACGGAUUCAACGAGCUUACAACCUUGGCCGAAAGGUCUGGGUAAUCUCCAAAAUCCGUCGUGAUGGGGAUAGAUUAUUGCAAUUAUUAAUCUUCAACGAGGAAUGCCUAGUAAGCGCAAGUCAUCAGCUUGCGUUGAUUACGUCCCUGCCCUUUGUACACACCGCCCGUCGCUACUACCGAUUGGAUGGCUUAGCGAGAAUUUUGGAUCGGAGCCCGGGUGGUCGGCAACGGUCGCCCGGGAGAUCUGAGAAAUCAUUCCAGCUUGGUCAUCUAGAGGAAGUAAAAGUCGUAACA
rnacentral:rRNA from 1 species